CUUUUGAUGGGCGAGUUUAGUUCAUUUACAUUCAAUAUAUUAUUGAUAAGUAAGGACUUACUCCUACCAUUUUGUUAUUUGUUUUCUAAUUAUUUAGUAAUCUUCUCUUCCUUCCUUCUUUCCUUCCUGUCUUCCUCUAGUGAAGGUGAUUUUCUCUGGUGGUAUGAUUUAGUUUUUUUGCUUUAUAUUUUUUGUGUAUCCAUUCUGUUUACUGCUUUGAGGUUACCAUGAGGCUUGCAAAUACUAUCCUAUAACCUAUUCUUUUAACCUGAUAAUGACACUAUUUGCAUAAACAAACAAGCAAAAAUAAAACUAAUAAAAACUCUAUACCUUAACUUUGUCCCCCUGCUUUUUAGCUUUUUGUUAUGUAUAAUUAUAUCUUAUUAUAUUAUGUCUUAGAUAAUUGCUGUAGUUAUUAUUUUUGAUUGGUUCAUUGUUUAGUCUACUUAGAAUAAGAGUAGUUUACACACCAUGGUUACAGUGUUAUAAUAUUCUGUGUUUUUCUGUGUACCUACCAUUACCAGUGAGUUUUGUACCUCCAGGUGAUUAUUUAUUGCUCAUUAAUGUCCUUUUAUUUCUGACCUGUCCUACAAGAAAUAACUUUAACAUUUGUAGGACAAGUCUAGUAUUAAUGAAAUCCCUCAGCUUUUGUUUAUCUGGGAAAGUAUUUCGCCUUCAUGUUUGCAGGGUAUUUUUACUGGACAUACUAUUCUAGGAUGAAUUUUUUUUCCUUCAGCUCUUUAAAUAUGUCAUGUCACUCUCUCCUGGCCUGUAAGGUUUCCCCUGAAAAGUCUGCUGCCAGACGUAUUGGACCUCCAUUGUAUGUUAUUUGUUUCUUUUCUCUUGCUGUUUUUAGAAUCUUUUCUUUAUCCUUGACCUUUGAGAAUUUGAUUAUUAAAUUCCUUAAGGUAGUCUUUUUUGGGGUUAAAUCUGCUUGGUGUUCUAUAACCUUCUUGUACUUUGAUAUUUAUAUCUUUCUGUAGGUUUGGGAAGUUCUCUGUUAUUAUCCCUU
rnacentral:lncRNA from 1 species